rnacentral:rRNA from 1 species
CAAAAGCGUAUAUUAAAGUUGUUGCAGUUAAAAAGCUCGUAGUUGAACCUUGGGCUUGGCUGGCCGGUCCAUCCUUUUUGAUGCGUACUGGACCCAGCCGAGCCUUUCCUUCUGGCUAGCCUUUUGGCGAACCAGGACUUUUACUUUGAAAAAAUUAGAGUGUUCAAAGCAGGCCUUUGCUCGAAUAUAUUAGCAUGGAAUAAUAGAAUAGGACGUUAUGGUUCUAUUUUGUUGGUUUCUAGGACCAUCGUAAUGAUUAAUAGGGACGGUCGGGGGUAUCAGUAUUCAGUUGUCAGAGGUGAAAUUCUUGGAUUUACUGAAGACUAACUACUGCGAAAGCAUUUACCAAGGACGUUUUCAUUAA